GUGAGGAAUAUUGCGCAAUGGACGAAAGUCUGACGCAGCCAUGCCGCGUGAAGGAUUGACGGCCCUAUGGGUUGUAAACUUCUUUUGUAUAGGAAUAAACCCUCGUUCGUGAACGAGGCUGAAGGUACUAUAAGAAUAAGCACCGGCUAACUCCGUGCCAGCAGCCGCGGUAAUACGGAGGGUGCAAGCGUUAUCCGGAUUUAUUGGGUUUAAAGGGUCCGUAGGCGGAUCGUUAAGUCAGUGGUGAAAUCCUACCGCUCAACGGUAGAACUGCCAUUGAUACUGGCGAUCUUGAGUAUGUAUGAAGUUGGCGGAAUGUGUGGUGUAGCGGUGAAAUGCUUAGAUAUCACACAGAACACCGAUUGCGAAGGCAGCUGACUAAUACACAACUGACGCUGAGGGACGAAAGUGUGGGGAUCAAACAGGAUUAGAAACCCCAGUAGUCC
rnacentral:rRNA from 1 species